rnacentral:rRNA from 1 species
GACGAACGCUGGCGGCGUGCCUAAUACAUGCAAGUAGAACGCUGAAGGAGGAGCUUGCUUCUCUGGAUGAGUUGCGAACGGGUGAGUAACGCGUAGGUAACCUGCCUGGUAGCGGGGGAUAACUAUUGGAAACGAUAGCUAAUACCGCAUAAGAGUAGAUGUCGCAUGACAUUUGCUUAAAAGGUGCAAUUGCAUCACUACCAGAUGGACCUGCGUUGUAUUAGCUAGUUGGUGAGGUAACGGCUCGCCAAGGCAACGAUACAUAGCCGACCUGAGAGGGUGAUCGGCCACACUGGGACUGAGACACGGCCCAGACUCCUACGGGAGGCAGCAGUAGGGAAUCUUCGGCAAUGGACGGAAGUCUGACCGAGCAACGCCGCGUGAGUGAAGAAGGUUUUCGGAUCGUAAAGCUCUGUUGUAAGAGAAGAACGAGUGUGAGAGUGGAAAGUUCACACUGUGACGGUAUCUUACCAGAAAGGGACGGCUAACUACGUG